AGAACUUAGCAGAGAUGCUCUGGUGCCUUCGGGAACUCUGAGACAGGUGCUGCAUGGCUGUCGUCAGCUCGUGUUGUGAAAUGUUGGGUUAAGUCCCGCAACGAGCGCAACCCUUAUCCUUUGUUGCCAGCGGUCCGGCCGGGAACUCAAAGGAGACUGCCAGUGAUAAACUGGAGGAAGGUGGGGAUGACGUCAAGUCAUCAUGGCCCUUACGAGUAGGGCUACACACGUGCUACAAUGGCGCAUACAAAGAGAAGCGACCUCGCGAGAGCAAGCGGACCUCAUAAAGUGCGUCGUAGUCCGGAUUGGAGUCUGCAACUCGACUCCAUGAAGUCGGAAUCGCUAGUAAUCGUGGAUCAGAAUGCCACGGUGAAUACGUUCCCGGGCCUUGUACACACCGCCCGUCACACCAUGGGAGUGGGUUGCAAAAGAAGUAGGUAGCUUAACCUUCGGGAGGGCGCUUACCACUUUGUGAUUCAUGACUGGGGUGAAGUCGUAACAAGGUAAGCGUAGUGCU
rnacentral:rRNA from 1 species